GAUGAACGCUGGCGGCGUGCCUAAUACAUGCAAGUCGAGCGAACAGACGAGGAGCUUGCUCCUCUGACGUUAGCGGCGGACGGGUGAGUAACACGUGGAUAACCUACCUAUAAGACUGGGAUAACUUCGGGAUACCGGAGCUAAUACCGGAUAAUAUAUUGAACCGCAUGGUUCAAUAGUGAAAGACGGUUUUGCUGUCACUUAUAGAUGGAUCCGCGCCGCAUUAGCUAGUUGGUAAGGUAACGGCUUACCAAGGCAACGAUGCGUAGCCGACCUGAGAGGGUGAUCGGCCACACUGGAACUGAGACACGGUCCAGACUCCUACGGGAGGCAGCAGUAGGGAAUCUUCCGCAAUGGGCGAAAGCCUGACGGAGCAACGUCGCGUGAGUGAUGAAGGUCUUCGGAUCGUAAAACUCUGUUAUUAGGGAAGAACAAAUGUGUAAGUAACUAUGCACGUCUUGACGGUACCUAAUCAGAAAGCCACGGCUAACUACGUG
rnacentral:rRNA from 1 species